AACGAACGCUGGCGGCAUGCCUAACACAUGCAAGUCGAACGAUGCCUUCGGGCAUAGUGGCGCACGGGUGCGUAACGCGUGGGAAUCUGCCUUUCGGUUCGGAAUAACUCAGGGAAACUUGAGCUAAUACCGGAUAACGUCGCAAGACCAAAGAUUUAUCACCGAAAGAUGAGCCCGCGUAGGAUUAGCUAGUUGGUGAGGUAAAGGCUCACCAAGGCGACGAUCCUUAGCUGGUCUGAGAGGAUGAUCAGCCACACUGGGACUGAGACACGGCCCAGACUCCUACGGGAGGCAGCAGUGGGGAAUAUUGGACAAUGGGCGAAAGCCUGAUCCAGCAAUGCCGCGUGGGUGAUGAAGGCCUUAGGGUUGUAAAGCUCUUUUACCCGGGAAGAUAAUGACGGUACCGGGAGAAUAAGCCCCGGCUAACUCCGU
rnacentral:rRNA from 1 species